UACGGAGGGGACUAGCGUUGUUCGGAAUUACUGGGCGUAAAGCGCACGUGGGCGGAUUUGUAAGUCAGGGGUGAAAUCCCGGGGCUCAACCUCGGAACUGCCUUUGAUACUGCAAAUCUCGAGUCCGGAAGAGGUGAGUGGAAUUCCUAGUGUAGAGGUGAAAAUUCGUAGAUAUUAGGAAGAACACCAGUGGCGAAGGCGGCUCACUGGUCCGGUACUGACGCUGAGGUGCGAAAGCGUGGGGAGCAAACAGGG
rnacentral:rRNA from 1 species